rnacentral:rRNA from 1 species
CCUACGGGCGGCAGCAGUGAGGAAUAUUGGUCAAUGGACGAGAGUCUGAACCAGCCAUGCCGCGUGCGGGAGUACUGCCCUAUGGGUUGUAAACCUCUUUUGUCGGGGAGCAAAAGUCGGACGUGUCCGGCUGUGAGAGUACCCGAAGAAAAAGCAUCGGCUAACUCCGUGCCAGCCGCCGCGGUAAUACGGGGGAUGCGAGCGUUAUCCGGUUUUAUUGGGUUUAAAGGGUGCGCAGGGGGAUUUUUAAGUCAGCGGUAAAAUCGGGGGGCUCAACCCUAUCCAGCCGUUGAAACUGGGGGGCUAGAGAGUACGAGAGGUAGGCGGAAUGCGUGGUGUAGCGGUGAAAUGCAUAGAGAUCAUACAGAACCCCGAUUGCGAAGGCAGCAUACCAGUGCACAACUGACGUUCAGGCACGAAAGCGUGGGUAGCGAACAGGAUUAGAUACCCGAGUAGUC